CUUACAGAGUUUAUUGGCAUUCUGUCCACCUCCGUUCCCCAUCGAUUGAAUCUGAAAGCCUUUUUCUUUUCUUGUUUUUGUGCUUCUCUCUUUCAUGCUCAUGGAGGUGGGCAUACUGCCAACUGAGCUCUGUUGG
rfam:Citrus sinensis cultivar Ridge Pineapple sweet orange scaffold00002_contig_585, whole genome shotgun sequence.